UUGCUUUAGCAGUACAUGUCCUAAAAUUAGAACCACACAGAGAAGAUUAGCAUGGCCCCUACACAAGGAUGACAUGCAAAUUCAUGAAGCAUUCCAUAUUUAA
ensembl:snRNA U6 U6 spliceosomal RNA